GUAUAAAAUCAAGUGACAUUGUGAUUCAUCUGUGAUUCACUGCUCUGGUUUAAUGGAUCAGAGCUCUUUAUUGAAGAAUUUUCUGAAAUCCCUCUGGAGAAAGGGAAUGUGAAGCAGGACUUCUGAAAAGUGGGCGUCACGGUUGCACUUUAACUCAACUCAAAUGGACUUCAGCCAUCUGAAAUUAAAAUAUCCUCCCGUCUAAUCGAAUGGCUCUGGUAUUUCUGAUUCCAGCACCUGUGAUUUGUUUGUGGGUUCUGUCUCAUACCGUAAUCUACGUGGCCUCAUUCCCAAGGAAGAGAAACACCCCGAUGAAGAGGAUAUGCAUCGCUCGUUUGUCUGUCAAUGAGGACAUGAAGGUUCGACUGGAUGUGGGAGGAAAAUGAAAACAUUCCAGUGACCUGAAAGGAGGAAAACCAUCAGUGACAAAAGCUGUUUGGACUUUCAUUCUGACGGCACCCAUUCACAUCCACUGGUGAGCAAGUAAUGGAAUGACACAUUUCUCCAAAUGUGAUGAAGAAACAAACUCAUCCUAAUCUUGGAUGGCCUGAGGGUGAGCACGUUUUCAGCAAAUGUAAAUUUUUGUGUGAACUAUUCCAGUAACCUAAUGUGAAACCUCUAAAAUGACGUAUUAAUGUGUGAAGAUUAGGUCCGCUUCAUUUGGUUUCCUUGCACAGGCUGAUUCCUCCUGCUCCUACAGGGCAAAGGUCAAGCGUUUGAUCCCACACUGAGGGUGACCUUUGAUCUGAUGGCAGCAUAUUUCUGCAGUCUGAUAAGAUUUCAGGCUCCGGGACGAAUUCAAGCUUGUUUCCUCCCCAUGAUGUGAAAUAAUCUCCUGUCAGACAAACUGCUUCUGCCCGGAGGAGCCGACAAACAUCCUGUCUGACAAAGCAGCAUUAGAAACUCACGACUGCAGGACAUUUAAGCAGAAGACCUGCAGCUGCAUGUGCUCCAGAUUCACCUCAGAUGCUGCUUAAAUACAUAGCCAUAUACCUCUAGGA